GGGUCGUUAGCUCAGUUGGUAGAGCAGCGGACUUUUAAUCCGUUGGUCGAGCGUUCGAAUCGCUCACGACCCACCA
rnacentral:tRNA from 18 species